rnacentral:rRNA from 1 species
AGCGAACGCUGGCGGCAUGCCUUACACAUGCAAGUCGAACGGUAACGGGCCUUCGGGUGCCGACGAGUGGCGAACGGGUGAGUAAUGUAUCGGAACGUACCUUUCAGUGGGGGAUAACGUAGCGAAAGUUACGCUAAUACCGCAUAUUCUGUGAGCAGGAAAGCAGGGGAUCGCAAGACCUUGCGCUGAUUGAGCGGCCGAUAUCAGAUUAGCUAGUUGGUGAGGUAAAGGCUCACCAAGGCGACGAUCUGUAGCGGGUCUGAGAGGAUGAUCCGCCACACUGGAACUGAGACACGGUCCAGACUCCUACGGGAGACAGCAGUGGGGAAUUUUGGACAAUGGGGGCAACCCUGAUCCAGCCAUGCCGCGUGAGUGAAGAAGGCCUUCGGGUUGUAAAGCUCUUUCGGCCGGGAAGAAAUCGUCUCAGCUAAUACCUGGUGCGGAUGACGGUACCGGCAUAAGAAGCACCGGCUAACUACGUGCCAGCAGCCGCCGUAAGAC